UACAGAGGGGGCAAGCGUUAUUCGGAAUUAUUGGGCGUAAAGGGCGCGUAGGCGGCCUGGCAAGUGGAAGGUGAAAUCCCUCGGCUUAACCGAGGAACUGCCCUCCAAACUGCUUGGCUUGAGACCGGGAGAGGUAAGUGGAAUUCCGAGUGUAGAGGUGAAAUUCGUAGAUAUUCGGAAGAACACCAGUGGCGAAGGCGACUUACUGGACACAUAUUGACGCUGAGGUGCGAAAGCGUGGGGAGCAAACAGG
rnacentral:rRNA from 1 species